GCGACGAGCCCCUCGCACAAAC
rnacentral:miRNA from 1 species